rnacentral:lncRNA from 1 species
GUAAACACUCAAGCAAAAAUAUAAAGAGUGAAUAAAUAUUUACCCAGCUUUUAUAUAUACAAACGUGUUACAGGAAGCAUUCAACUUCUACAAAGAGGAAGUCAAUCUAGUAUGUGGAAGAGGUUUUUUAUUUUUAUUUUAUUUCAUUUUUUAUUGUUCUAUGGAAGAGUCUUGAAAGUCUUCAGAGGCGAGGGUUGACUUGACUCAAUGACUUAAGACUUUGGGGUUCUGUUGGGACGCGGCAGAUUUGGCACGCACACACGGAAUACGUUUACAAGGACUUAUCACAUCGAUUAUUAUAUGUUCCAAUCUGCACAGAGGGUUAAAGGACGUUUUAGGCCUCGUGCAACAAUUGCUUAUUGUGACUUUUAUAAUAAUAGUAGAAAAUGUUUGAAGCUUUUGACGGAUCUAAAUUGGUAUUAUUUUUUUAAACAUGGUUGCAAUAGAAAAUAAUUAGAAAAAAUACAUUUUUAAUAAUAUAAAUUUAAAUCAUUUAAUCAUUGUAGAUAAUACUAUGUAGCCAUGUAAUGGUUUCACUCAAUCAUUAUCUUCAUGUCACGUAAUUAAGCAACCAAGAUUAUACAAAUUACAUGUUUGUCCAACUAUUUGCGACUUUAUCAUUAUCCCCCUUUUGAAAAAUUUUUAUGAUGUUAUUAUUGGGUAAAGGUAUUAAAAGGUUUGGCUUUACAGCAGUAAAUUUGUCCAACUCUUUUUAUGUUUUUUUUUAAAAAAAAAAAACUAGAGGCUAACAAAGAAAAGAAUACAGCAGUAAAUACAAAAGUAAACUCAUACGUUUUUGGAAAAGGAGGAGCAGAACAUUUUGAUUGUGCUUGUGUUUUUUUUUUUUUUUUUUUUGAAGAGAAAUUCAUUAAACAGAAAAGCGAUUACAAAUGUUUUAAAAGCCAGCGAGGUGGAACACCCCUCCACACGCUAGGAUCUGACAUAGAACCUCCUGCCUUAGCAACACUAUGGGCAGCAGCAUUCACAGAUCUACGGACAAAUGAGAAUUACACUUCUCCCAAAUUUUGGGCUAAAAAACGACACUCCUCUAUGAUGAGGCCGAAACCAUUAGGAUUAGAUUGGUUCUCAGAUAAAGUCUUAAAAACUUGCAGACAAUCCAUCUCAAUGAUCACAUGAGGAAAAUGCAGAUUCUUCAACCAGCUCAGGGCCUCACGAACACCAAGAGCCUCUGCUUCUCUAGCCCCAAAAUUGCCCAGAAAUCUGUCACAGCUAGCAGUCAAGAAAAUGCCCUCAGAAUUUCGAACCACACAGCCAUAACUGACCAAAGAUUGAGAGUGAAACACAGCAGCAUCCACAUUACAUUUAGCCCAACCAACAUGAGGCCUUUCCCAGCACACAGCCCCGUGCACCACAAUGCUCGCAUCUGCAUCAGUAAGCAUGGCCUGCUUUCUCACCAGUUGACACUGGUAUAACAGGUGUCCAGCUGAAUUGAGAAUUUGGUGAGCUCUCCCACCUCUAUUGUUCCAAACUUUGUCAUUGCGAUGAGCCCAAAUCUUCCAACAAAUCAUGGCAGCAAGGUCACACUCCUCCUUACUGCACCAGGAAAAAAUAUGGCCAAGCCAUUCCAGGAAAGAAGGGAUCUGACCUAUAUAUCCAACAGUAGAAGCAAUCCAGCAAGAUUUUGCAAAGCCACAAUCCACCAAGGCAUGCAUUACAGAUUCAUUAUAAGCAUUGCAAACAGAGCAAAGAGACAACACUUGGACUUUGUGACUCCGGAGAUUAUCAGUUGUAGGCAGGACAUUAUUAGCAGCACGCAAAAUAAAGUUUUUCACUUUACCCAGCACAUCCAACCUCUAUAAACACCUCCACGCACUUGAGGCAUAGUUAUUAGCAUCGUAUGUCAUCAACUUAUAACAACUACGAACCGAGAACUUACCUCGAGGUUCAGCCAACCAAUGCCAUAAAUCAAUGUCCCGACGAGUGCUAAGGGGGAUUUUCAGGAUAAGGUCUCUAUCCCUAGCAUUGAAAAGAUCAGUUACAGCAUUAUAAUCCCACCGACGCUGAUUAGGAACCAUCAGGUUGCAAACUGACGCCAUUUUAAUCUCCUCCUGCUGCUCCAUGGUUAUGAAACCACAUUCAGCAUCCGGCAGCCAAGGAUCACUCCCAAUAAGGACCUGCUGCCCGCUCUCAAUUUGAAGUCUACUCCCUUUAAUAACAAUGUCUUUUGCAGCCAUUAUGGAACGCCAAAUAAAACUUGGAUUAGACCCCAAACUUGCAUCAAGAAUUGAGGAUCGCAAGAAAUAUCGGGCCUUAAGGAUCUUGGCAACAAAAGAGUUUGGGUGUAUCAAUAAGUUCCAUGUCUGCUUCCCCAACAUUGCUAUAUUGAAGAGGUGCAGCUGUUUGAAACCUAUCCCUCCAAAGUCCUUCGACUUACACAAAUGCUCCCAUUUCAUCCAAUUGAUUCCACUACCACCACCAUUGCGUUUACUCCCCCACCAAAACGAAUUCAUCAUAAUCUCCAACUCUUUACAGAGAUCAAGAGGGAGGAGAUAGACGUUCAUCGCAUAAUUAGGCAUUGCUUGCGCCACUGUUUUCAGUAGGAUUUCUUUGCCAGCUCUAGAUAAUAUCUUCAUGUUCCAGCCUUGUAGCUUCUGCCAGACUUUAUCUCGGAUACUUUGAAACACCAUUUUUUUCUUUUUUACAAUACAAGAAGGAAAGCCCAAAUAUGGCCCAUGGUCAGACGUAACAUGAACAUCCAGCUUUACACAAACCUGACUUACAACACCAGCAACCACGUUAGAGUUAAAAGAAAUAGAAGAUUUGUUAAAGUUGACACGUUGCCCUGAAGCACACCCAUAGGAAGCUAGGAUGCUCUUUAUCAUAAGUGCUUCCUGCUGGUUUGCUAGAAAGAAUAAGAAAGCAUCAUCGGCAAAAAAUAAAUGAGACACCAUAGGGGCACCCCUUGUAACCUUUACACCAUGAAUCAAACCAGCCUUUUCUUGCCUACGGAUUAGAGAACUCAAACCUUCAGCACGUAAAAUGAACAAAUGAAGGGAUAAGGGGUCACAUUGGUGUAACCUUCUACUAGGAAUAAUCGGCCUCACCUCCUUGCCAUUUCGAAUCACAUUGUACCGUACCGUAAAAACACAAAGCAUAAUCAAUUCCACCCAUUUUUCUGCAAACCCCAUUUUCAACAUCACAUCUUAGAGGAAUUUCCAUUCGAUACGGUCAUAAGCCUUAGACAUGUCAAUUUUAAGUGCCGCACUUCCAUUCUUCCCUUGUCUUUUUCUCUUCAAAAAAUGUAUAACCUCGGCCGAGAUAAUGAUAUUAUCUGUUAUUGCUCUCCCAGGAAUAAAUGCACUUUGGGCAUUAGAGACAACCGAGGUAAGAACUGACUUCAUUCUAUUUGAAAGUAUUUUAGAAAUUAUUUUGUAUAGGAUGUUACAAAGGGCAAUAGGCCUUAUAUCUGCUAGGGUAUCAGGUUGUUGUUUUUUCGGAAUCAAAACGAUGGAUGUAUCAUUUACUCCCACAGGAAAAGUACAAUUAUUAAUAAAAUCCAAAGAAGCAUGCACCAUAUCCUUACCUACAAUAUGCCAGAACUUCUGAUAGAAUGCAGGAUUUAUGUCAUCCGGCCUUGGGGAUUUAUCCGGGUGCAUCUCAAAGAGGGCAUCUUUGACUUCACUGGCCGAGAAAGGAGCCAAAAGCAUCGUAUUUUGAUCCUCUGUAAUACUUGACUCUAUGCACGCUAGUACAUCCUCAUUGCUGCAACCUUCAGUCUUGUAAAGUAAACUAAAAUACUCCGCAAUCAUCCCAUCAAUCUCAUCCUGAUUAGAACUCCAUUGCCCCUAACUAUUGCGCAACCAAUCAAGAGAAUUCUUCCGCUUCCUUACUGAAGCUGUGGCAUGAAAGAAACGUGAAUUCAUAUCUCCCUCAUUGAGCCAAAGAGAUUUUGCUCUCUGCUUCUAAAAAACUUCAUGGCUAUGAAGGAGCGCGUUGUAAUGAUUUUUGGCCUCAGUAAACUCCUCCACCCUCAUAUGGUCCCUCAUUCCUCGAUGCCUCGCUAUGAUACAUUUACAAUAGGAAAUACGCUUGUGGAAAUCGCGAGCCAGAUGACCUCCCCACUGGAUUAAAUUAGCUUCACACUUCGAGAUUUUCUGCUGAAUCGAACAACCAGAAGAAAAGACCCAACUAGUAUUAAUCACAUCAGUGCAAUCCCUUUCCCACAGCCACAAGUUCUCAAACCGGAAUCUACUAUGCCGAUUUGUGUGGGCAAUGGGGUUAAGGUCCAUAAAAAUAGGCAAAUGGUCGGAACAAGAAGCCUCCAAGCUCGUAACCUUAACCCGGGAAAAAAGAUUAAGCCACUCAGCCGAAACAAAAACUCUAUCAAGCCUUUCCUCUACCCAAUCAGCAGUCCCUCAAGAUCUCUCCUAAGUAAAAGGGUAACCAUCCAUUCCAACAUCAAUCAGGCCACUAUCAGAAAUGGCACUCUUAAACCCCUGAAGCUUCCAGUUAGGAAGAUCAAUUCUACCUUUCUUCUCGCCAGCUUCCAGCAAAUCAUUGAAGUCUCCAAGACAAAUCCAUAGGGAAGAAGAGGAAGAAGAGAGCCGCUGGAGCAAAUCCCAAAACUGACACCGACGACAAGAUUCAGGAAAGCCAUAGAACCCAGUCAACCUCCAAUCCCCCAAGCCAACAACCUCAACAUGGAUAUCAAUGAAGUUUCUAGCGUAGCUCAGCAAAGAAACUGUAGCACUCGAAUGCCAAAAAAGAGCAAGCCCUCCACUACGGCCCACUCGGUCAACCACAAACAGACCUUCAAAACCUAGCUUCAACUUAAUACUUUCUAGUUUACUUUUACUACAUAACGUCUCCAUAAGAAAAAUAAUCGAAGGCUUUUUACACCUGGCCAGAUCGAGUAAAACUUGAACUGUUUGUGGUUGGCCCAGGCCGCGACAGUUCCAGCUUAGCACACUCAUUGCUCUCGGUGGGUUUGAGUCACAAGUCCCACCGUUUGCCCAUUUUUUGGAUCCAUUACUACAUCCAUUUCCAGCUUAGAAGGAUUCUCUUCAAGACCCACAAUGCUUUGAGGCCCAACUUGAGAUCUCAUUCUCUUUGAGUCAUUGACGAUAAUGCCAGUCUCUUGAUCCUCUUCAAAUUCCUUACUCCCGCUCGAAACAUUAAUUGUGCCAAAAGCUGACUUAUCAUUAAUACACAGAUGACCCCUAUUUAGCACCAUACUACUACCUUCCAUAUCGGAUCCCUCAAAUCCAGUGCUGACAUUUCUUUCAUUUGUUCUGGGCCCAUGAUCUCCGGGAUUUGGAUUAGUUAUCGAAUUAACCAUCAUUGCACUAGUUGGAGUUAUAUUGUUGCCUUUUCCAAAUUUAGCUUCUUCCGGCAAAGCCAAUCUCAGCCAUCGCUCGCCUGAGUUCAUCGUGUUCCUCAUGUUUGGCGCUUUCAUCCAAUGGCCAUAAGCCUUCACAAUUUCACCCGACGGAUAAUCAUAUAACUUCGGGCAUUGUUUUUCUGUGUGGCCGAGCAAUCCACAAAUGAAGCAGAAUAUAUUCAGCCUUUCAUAUUUGAAAUCAAUCCAGAACCAUUCUCCCAUUUCCUUAUUUAGCUUCAUUUUACGCUUGAGAGGCUUUCGAACAUCGAUGGAUACCCGAAUGCGCAUAUAAGUCCUCAAAACUCCCAUGAAAUUGUUCUCAUCAGAGUCCAAAAAUGUACCAACAUAAUUGCCAAUGUACUUCAAUACUUUCUCGGACAUAAAACCUAUGGGUAAGUUAUAAAUUUGAAUCCAAAAAGAUGUGAAGAACAAGGGAACAAGUUGAGGCUGUUCAUUCUCCUCUAAACGUUUCACCAGCAGAAUAUGUUGGUCAAAGGUCCAUGGACCAGAUUCCAACACCCUGUUAGCAUCAAUCUCAUGAAAAAAUUGAAAUAAGAAAAGUGUUGGUGAUACCUCCUUAAUACACACACCCUUGCCUGGCCGCCAAAGAGAGGCCAUUAUGUUCUUCAUUGCUGCAAAAUUAAUCACCUUGUCCGUCAGAAAUCUGCCCACCAAGCAAAAUCGGUAUUCGAUCUUGACAUUAUUUCCUCCAUCUAUAUCUUCUCCUUCUAUGAUCAAUCCAUUAUCCUCCUCUUCGUCAAUAGUCAUGCUAGCAUGUCCAAUACUGAUGUCAACCUCUGACUGUCUCUCGCUGGUGGCCAUCGUAAAGCAAGAAAUAUGAAAACAGUUGCACCUAGUGAGAAUAAACUUGCCCUAAAGACAAGACAAACUUGACUUGUCCCAGAGACGAGAUUAUUUGAGUAACACCAACUUGGUUUGUUAUUCUUGUAUGUUAUUGUGCUUGUGUUUUUCAUUAAAGAAGCUCUUGAGUUUUGAUUUAGUUUUGAAGGUAGAUAAGAAUUUAUAAUAUUUUGAACUUGUGGUUUUAUUUAUGAUUUUAUGUGAUUGAUUAAAUAAUUUUGUGUAUUCUAUUGAUAAAAUUAUGAAAGCAUGGUCAAUAUUGUUAUCGAAUGGAAGUGUUGAAAAUAAUGCAUCUAUUGACGAUCGUUGUAGGUUACAGUACCUUGAUUGAAUUAUUGGCCGGGUCACCGGGAUUACAAUUGGUUGGGUUACUUAAGAGUACAUGUGACACUAUGUAGUAUGAGUAGUUGAAAGAAUGAAAGGUUUUGCUGUUAAAUGAUUUCUUAAACGAUUAUUUAUUGAAAAUAAUUAUUAUGUUACGACUUAACUAAUUAUGAGUUCUACCAUACAUAUGUAUUAGAUUAUAAAAUGAUUACUGGUUUCUAAUUUAUGGUAAUUCAUAAUGAUAACUAUAUGUUUUUAUCAUUAUUAGUAAUCUUUUGCCUGAGUUUGCUUACCGAGUUGACGACUCACUUCUCAUCUCCAACAUUUUUGUAUAUUGAUUUUAGAGAGAUUUGAUUUUUGGUUUAGGGAAGAGAAUUUGUUAGUUGAAAGCUUUGGCAUCUUCUUGGUGAGUAAUUUGUAGCUACUUUGGUUAUUACUUAGAGCUGGAUUUUUUCGGAGGAUUAUUAUUGUAUUUAUUAUUUUAGAGACUAUGUUUUAACUAUGGACAACAUUGAUUUUCUUUUGGGAAUAGUGAAAAGAUUAAUGUUAUGAGGUUUCAUUCUAAAUUCAUCUCGAGAUUUUUUGGUGAAUUUGAGGUGUUACCCUUAGGACACUAAUAAUGAAUUUAGAGAAAUUUUAAAACCGCGGUUCCUAUCUCCUCAAGCUUAUUUGGACAAAAAAUCUUCAAUCUCACUUCAACAUCUUCAGAUUAAAGUCCUUAUCGGGUCGUUCUUAAUUGUUCAAAUACUUCAUCUAGUGGUAACCGUGCCUAUGAAAAUAGAGAGUUUGAGUGUUUAGUACUAUAAUAUCUUUUAAAAAAAAGAGAGAGAAAAAGGUUGUAACUGUAUUGAACAUUUCCGCAGAGCAGAACUUACCAAAUCAAUUCCUUCACGGUUGAAAUUCUCAGGAUCAAGCAGUGGUUUCUCAAGAUCCUCAGGCAUGACUGGAAUUUGAAAUCUCAACCUGGCUUCAAAUCAAAUACUUCUUGUGAGAAUCAGGCCUGAAUGCCAAUCAUUACAAACUGAAUUUGCAAAAAUAAAAAAGAUAAAAAAGUAAAUACCCACUAUAUGAGUUAAUGAUUUGAUUUCACUAUGAAGUUGUGGAUUAAAAGCCACAAUGCUUAAAUCCUAAACAAGUAAUUUAUUGUCCACUUGUGCUAAUGAACAUGGAUCUCAACAAAUAAAAUUACAAACUCUAAGUAUAAAAAUUCACUUGCAUGCUAAAAGAACAGCACAUUAAUUUACAUGUUCCAAUAUGGUAUAAAGACAAAAAAAAAAAAAAAAAUUUCAUCAUACCCGCUUCAGAAACUAAAGUGAAGACGUAUAUAAUCAAUAAGAUCAAAUCAAGUACGCUGAUCACGUAACUUUAGACUUACUAAUAUUGCGAAAGUCGGGAAAUGAGAAAGUGUAGGAACACUUGAAAGUGUAGUGUAUAGAGUGAGGAGCCUCCUCUUUGUUUAGGGAGCAAGAGAAGUGAAGUGAAGACCUCUUUUAAGGAGAUGAUGAUGAUUUGGUGGGCUGUUGACCGUUGGUUGGAAUUUUUCCCCAUGACAAGUUAACCGUUGGUCGCGCCAUUUUUA